rnacentral:rRNA from 1 species
GACGAACGCUGGCGGCGUGCUUAACACAUGCAAGUCGAACGGAAAGGCCCUGCUUUUGUGGGGUGCUCGAGUGGCGAACGGGUGAGUAACACGUGAGUAACCUGCCCUUUACUUUGGGAUAACUUCAGGAAACUGGGGCUAAUACCUGAUAGUAGCUCCUGCUGCAUGGGGGGGGGUGGAAAGUUUCGGCGGUUGGGGAUGGACUCGGGGCUUAUCAGCUUGUUGGUGGGGUAGUGGCUGACCAAGGCUUUGACGGGUAGCCGGCCUGAGAGGGUGACCGGAGACAUUGGGCAGGCGCUACCGCCCAGAAUCAUACGGGAGGAAGCAGCGGGGAAUAUUGCACAAUGGGAGGAAGCCUGAUGCAGCAACGACGCGUGCGGGAUGACGGCCUUCGGGUUGUAAACAGCUUUCGCCUGUGACGAAGCGGGAGUGACGGUAAUGGGUAAAGAAGCACCGGCUAACUACGUG